CCGCUCUUUGUAGCCAUCUCAGGGGAAGCAACAGAUCGUCACUUCGCUAGUCUCCCCCAAAAGCACGCUCUCUCUAACGCCCCUCGCUCUGCCUCGGGCCCCCUUAGAGGACAGAAAGGCGCCUGCCUCCUCCCCGUGCCUGGCCGCCCGGCCGGUUGCACCCAGGCGCCCUGGAGUAGAGAGAAUUAGAAAUUCCCAGUGUUAGGCCUUCAAAAAACACCGAUUCGAAUAUCGCUUUUGGUAGAAAUUGAGGUGCGUCAACACAACGAGCCCACGACGUAGAGGUCACAGAAGUAUUGGCAAAAUCACUCGAAGCAGAUAAAGCGGGGAUUUCCGAUGGCGAUUUGCACACAAACAAGGUGACUGCAGGAGGCUAAAAUGCUGCCUAAUUCCAUGGGUUCCCAUCGCAGGAGAAGAAAAAAAAAAGUCCAAGUGCUUUUGAUCACGGGACACCCGGCCGUUCCUCCCCAGUACACCCCGGGUCACAGUACAGUAAUGACCGUGGGUUGUGCGCUGUAGGACUUGACCUUUCCUACGUAGAAGAGGGCGCUUUCUUUCACGCUACGGGGAGGGAAGAGAGGGGGGAGCGGCGGGAGGAAGGGAGAUGCUCUCUUUGGGGAUGUUUAAUCACAAUUCAGAUCUAGGAACGGGCAAAUGUCCUGCCUUUCAGCACGCCAUGUUGAAGCUAUUCACUGGAGCAAAUUUUUUUUUUUUUUUUUUUU